UGCGCAGCCGGUACUCAGACGCGGACCGAGGGGCGAGCGGGACGUACAAGUGGAGCAAUGGCGGGCAAGACGGAGAAUCACAAAACUUCCGAUUUUUAUCGGAAUGAGGUGGAAUAACAGCAGGGUACAGCCGGAGGCAGCUGUAACAACAACAGAUGACUCUCAAAUUUGACCCUGAUGGUUUGUUUAGAGCACUUGAAAGGUCUGGAGAAAUUUUGCUGGAGUACCAACUGGUAAGCCAGAGCUUUUCCAUGGCCUCUGUGUGCUCUAACAACGCAGGUUCAAUAAGUAAUGCUUAACUGUGAUUGAAUUUCCGCGCACAAGACAGACAUCAAGGUGACGGCGCUGUUUGGGAGAGAGCUCCACAAGUAAGAGCAGGAACAUGUGAAGCUUUGCUGCUGGUAUUCCAUGUCAACUGUUUGGAAUGAUACAGGAUGUUGAAGUGCAACUGCAUCAGCUCUUGUGUUCCUGGCAUAAACAUGGAGGCCUAGCUAAAGCAGAAACAAGUCCUGCGGUACUCCUGCAGUCAUGAUCUUGAAGAGGACUGUCAGAAUGACAAUGUGUCUCAGAUGUUACAGAGGAUGGAGUAUGCAAAUUUAAUCUGAACCAAUGGUCUAAAUUGCUUUGGACUAUAGUGAGUCCACAAGUAAAAGGUGGGUUCUCUGUAGCCUGCCAAAGUUAUAACAUACCAUCUCUAUGCAGAUGCAGGCUAUGAAACACUCAAGUUUCCAGGUGUGAUGAGUGAUGGUGAGGUUUUUUGAGAAUUCCUACUUUUCUGCCAGCGUUUGAUGAUGGAUAUCAGUCAGUUGCCAAUGCAACUCUGCUUAAAAGUUGUUACUAGUCAAGUCAUUGCCUCGGAAGAAUGCAUCGCUACAUCUGCAUUAUAGUGUCCCUGCAACCCUAGAUAACCAGUGCGACGUUCUUUGCCAUUUCCAACUUGCUAUCGUUUAGGUAUCCACAGAAUAAAUAAGAAGGUGGUAGCAGCACCGGGAAUAUCAUCAUGGAUUCAUGUUCUAAUCCUUACCCUUGCCAGCUGUGAAACUAGUCAGGAGGUGCUUGAGAGAGAAGAUCAACUGAUUACUUAGUAACACCUCAGCGUAUGGAUGUCAGUGACUCACCUGGAUUAUCUUGUGUGCAUUACCCUAGUGCACGUUUACUAAGCAUGGCAGUAUUUACCACUGCUGGUAAUACAACAUUGGACAAUUUUUACCCCAGUAACUCUAAGUGCCAGCAGAAGCAUGGAAAUCCAAGCUUCUUUUAACUUUUCAACAAAUCAAUCCAUCAGUGGAUGAAUUUCCAUAUCCACUUUUUAAGCUUUUGAUUCAUUUACUACCACACUGAAAUAAAGCUUGUGAUAAAUAUCAAAACUACUCGUAUGUCAAAGUAGAUUUAUAUUAAUGUGAAACACAAACUACUAAAAUAAACACCACUUUAAAAAGAAUUAAACAAUUUAA